UACAGAGGGGGCAAGCGUUGUUCGGAAUUACUGGGCGUAAAGAGCGCGUAGGCGGCCCUGUAAGUCCGCUGUGAAAGUCAAGGGCUCAACCCUUGAAUGCCGGUGGAUACUGCAGGGCUAGAGUCCGGAAGAGGCGAGUGGAAUUCCUGGUGUAGCGGGUGAAAUGCGCAGAUAUCAGGAGGAACACCGAUGGCGAAGGCAGCGUCGCUGGGACGGUACU
rnacentral:rRNA from 1 species